UACUUUUGCAGCCGUCUAUCAACUAGUGAUGAGACAUACAUAAUAAUCAUUAAAUAAUAUUAGCAUG
rfam:Flavobacterium flevense strain DSM 1076 genome assembly, contig: Ga0131122_101